GUGCUCGCUUUGGCAGCACAUAGACUAAAAUUGGAUUGAAACAGAGAAGAUUCACAUGGCCCCUGUGCGAGGAUGACACAGAUUCGUGAAGCACUCCAGAUUUUU